rnacentral:rRNA from 1 species
AUUGAACGCUGGCGGCAGGCCUAACACAUGCAAGUCGAACGAGUGGCGGACGGGUGAGUAAUGUCUGGGAAACUGCCUGAUGGAGGGGGAUAACUACUGGAAACGGUAGCUACUACCGCAUACCAUCGGAUGUGCCCAGAUGGGAUUAGCUAGUAGGUGGGGUAAAGGCUCACCUAGGCGACGAUCCCUAGCUGGUCUGAGAGGAUGACCGUGCACACUGAAACUGAUACAGGGUCCAGAGUCCUAGGGGGGGCAGCAGUGGGGAAUAUUGCACAAUGGGAGCAAGACUGAUGCAGCCAUGCCGCGUGUAUGAAGAAGGCCUUCGGGUUGUAAAGUACUUUCAGCGGGGAGGCGUUACCCGCAGAAGAAGCACCGGCUAACUCCGUGCCAGCAGCCGCGGUAAUAC